UACGGAGGGUGCAAGCGUUGCUCGGAAUUAUUGGGCGUAAAGGGUAGGUAGGUGGUCUCAUUUGUCUGGGGUGAAAGCCUUGAGCUUAACUCAAGAAGUGCCCCAGAAACGGUGAGACUGGAGUCCUGGAGAGGGUCGUGGAAUUCCCGGUGUAGCGGUGAAAUGCGUAGAUAUUGGGAGGAACACCAGUGGCGAAGGCGGCUCACUGGACCGGUUCUGACGCUGAGGCGCGAAAGCGUGGGGAGCAAACGGG
rnacentral:rRNA from 1 species